rnacentral:rRNA from 1 species
CCUGAUGGAGGGGGAUAACUACUGGAAACGGUAGCUAAUACCGCAUAACGUCGCAAGACCAAAGAGGGGGACCUUCGGGCCUCUUGCCAUCAGAUGUGCCCAGAUGGGAUUAGCUAGUAGGUGGGGUAAUGGCUCACCUAGGCGACGAUCCCUCGCUGGUCUGAGAGGAUGACCAGCCACACUGGAACUGAGACACGGUCCAGACUCCUACGGGAGGCAGCAGUGGGGAAUAUUGCACAAUGGGCGCAAGCCUGAUGCAGCCAUGCCGCGUGUAUGAAGAAGGCCUUCGGGUUGUAAAGUACUUUCAGCGAGGAGGAAGGCAUUAAGGUUAAUAACCUUAGUGAUUGACGUUACUCGCAGAAGAAGCACCGGCUAACUCCGUGCCAGCAGCCGCGGUAAU